rnacentral:lncRNA from 1 species
UUGUAGGUAUUUAAUCGGCUUUUGCAUGAAGGAGAAUGGACAAGAUGCUUCUGAAAGUUGGCCAGCAUUCUGCUAUGGAGAGCUGCCUUACAAGAGAAGAAAUAUCAGGAAUGGUGCCCCUAAGUUAACUGUUCUGCCUACGGAUAAAGUGCAAACAUCUCUACACACACUGUUUUCUCCUGCAAGGAAAACUCUGAGGACCAGAGUAUAAGAUGGCCACCACCACACCAGCUCCUAUUUCGUUCUUCCAACACAGAAGGCAGUUUUGAUUGGACUCCCUGGAGAACUGAACCUGAGGCAGAGACGUGCAUGCAAAAAGUCCAGGGGAUAUUGACUGGAAUAAUGAGGGAAGGAAGCAGGCUUCAGGGGAGUGAAGAGACUGCAUUGCACUUCCAGCAAUGGUCUUGGCAUAUCCCACAGGGAAUCUCAUGUUGGCUGGCCCAUCAGAAUCAAAGUGGGGCAUGAGGCUGGGCCCGCACUCUCACUUCUGACAGGCAUCCGAUGUGUGCGCAUGACUUGGAUAAGUUGCUCCCUGAAGGAGAUUGAUUUGUGAGGGACCAAGAGCCUGCAACUCUGGAAAUGCUGUCCUUAGUGCCUUGUUCUCUAAGGUGUGUUCACCGUGAUGCUUUGCAGCCAAGGCGGCCCUUGUCAGAGCCAGCAGCGUCCCUCCAAAACUGUGAGUUCAAUUAUCCUCUUUCUUUACAAACUACCGAGCCUCAGAACCUCAGUCUGCCUUGGAAAAUCUGCACAUUCAUGAGUCAUACACAAGUCUCCAGUGGAAUGUUGAGAUCCCUGUCUCCUGUCCUGAAAAGACUGCGAUCAGUUUACUUUUCUGGUCCAAUAGGUCUGGAGUAGCAAGUGGAAAUUAGUUCUUUUCAAGGGACUACUACUACAGAACUACUGAUAGGCAUUUAAAUGAAUAAAAAGAAACUUUGGUCCA